rnacentral:rRNA from 1 species
UACGUAGGGGGCUAGCGUUGUCCGGAAUCAUUGGGCGUAAAGCGCGCGUAGGCGGCCAGAUAAGUCCGGUGUGAAAGUCACAGGCUCAACCUGUGAAUGCCGCUGGAAACUGUCUGGCUAGAGUCCGGAAGGGGCGAGUGGAAUUCCAGGUGUAGCGGUGAAAUGCGUAGAUAUCUGGAGGAACACCGGUGGCGAAGGCGGCAUCCUGGACCGGCAUUGACGCUGAGGAGCGAAAGCCAGGGGAGCAAACGGG